UCGGGAAUUUUGGGCAAUGGGCGAAAGCCUGACCCAGCAACGCCGCGUGAGGGAUGAAGUAUUUCGGUAUGUAAACCUCGAAAGAAUGGGAAGAAUAAAUGACGGUACCAUUUAUAAGCUCCGGCUAACUACGUGCCAGCAGCCGCGGUAAUACGUAGGUAGCAAGCGUUGUUCGGAUUUACUGGGCGUAAAGGGCGCGUAGGCGGCGCGGUAAGUCACUUGUGAAAUCUCUGAGCUUAACUCAGAACGGCCAAGUGAUACUGCUGUGCUAGAGUGCGGAAGAGGCAACCGGAAUUCUCGGUGUAGCGGUGAAAUGCGUAGAUAUCAAGAGGAACACCUGAGGCGAAGGCGGGUUGCUGGGCCGACACUGACGCUGAUGCGCGAAAGCCAGGGGAGCAAACG
rnacentral:rRNA from 1 species